GACGUAAUCCCUUCGUUCCAAAAAAAUUUGUCUUAGAUUUGUCUAUAUAUGAAUGUCUACUCACGUUUUAGUAUUUUGAUACAUCUAUUUCUAGACGAACCUAAGACAAGAAUUUUGGUACGGAGGGAGUACUUU
rnacentral:pre_miRNA from 1 species